GUGAGUAACGCGUGGAUAAUCUACCCAAAGGUUCGGAAUAACAGUUGGAAACGACUGAUAAUACUGGAUAUCCUGGCAACGGGAAAGGUGGCCUCUAUUUAUAAGCUACUGCCUUUGGAUGAGUCCGCGUCUCAUUAGCUAGACGGUAGGGUAACGGCCUACCGUGGCAACGAUGAGUAGCAGGCCUGAGAGGGUGGCCUGCCACACUGGGACUGGAACACGGCCCAGACUCCUACGGGAGGCAGCAGUGGGGAAUAUUGCGCAAUGGGGGAAACCCUGACGCAGCGACGCCGCGUGGAGGAUGAAGGCUUUCGGGUCGUAAACUCCUGUCAAGAGGGAAGAAAUUUGCGGAGAGUAAUAUGCUCUGUAAUUGACGGUACCUCUAGAGGAAGCACCGGCUAAUUCCGUGCCAGCAGCCGCGGUAAUACGGAAGGUGCAAGCGUUAAUCGGAAUCACUGGGCGUAAAGCGCUCGUAGGUUGCUUUGUAAGUCAGGUGUGAAAGCCCACGGCUCAACCGUGGAAUUGCACUUGAUACUGCAUUGCUUGAGUUCGGGAGAGGGUAGUGGAAUUCCAGGUGUAGGAGUGAAAUCCGUAGAUAUCUGGAGGAACACCAGUGGCGAAGGCGACUACCUGGACCGAUACUGACACUGAGGAGCGAAAGCGUGGGGAGCAAACAGGAUUAGAUACCCUGGUAG
rnacentral:rRNA from 1 species